rnacentral:rRNA from 1 species
UACUCAGUCUCUUACUACACACUCUACUAUAUUGUUCGCCAGAGUACUACAAGCGCUAGCUUAAAACCCAAAGGACUUGGCGGUAUCCCACACCCACCUAGAGGAGCCUGUUCUAUAACCGAUAAUCCCCGUUCAACCUCACCACUCCUUGCCAUUACCGUCUAUAUACCGCCGUCGUCAGCUCACCCUGUGAAGGACUAAAAGUAAGCAAAAAGAAUUAAACUCCAAAACGUCAGGUCGAGGUGUAGCAAAUGAAGUGGGAAGAAAUGGGCUACAUUUUUUUUAAAAAACAAACGAAUGAUAAACUGAAAAAUUACCUAAAGGUGGAUUUAGCAGUAAGAGGAGGUCAGAGUACUCCUCUGAAAUCGGCUCUGGGAUAAGCACACACCGCCGUUCACCCUCAACACACCGCCGUUCACCCUCACACACCGCCUUUCACCAAAAAGCGAAUGCCCCUCUCUGUGGGGGGGGGGGGGGGAAAAAAAAACUGGGGGGUAUGGGGGGGGGGGGGGGGGGGA